AGAACUUAGCAGAGAUGCUUUGGUGCCUUCAGGAACUCUGAGACAGGUGCUGCAUGGCUGUCGUCAGCUCGUGUUGUGAAAUGUUGGGUUAAGUCCCGCAACGAGCGCAACCCUUAUCCUUUGUUGCCAGCGGUUAGGCCGGGAACUCAAAGGAGACUGCCAGUGAUAAACUGGAGGAAGGUGGGGAUGACCGUCAAGUCAUCAUGGCCCUUACGAGUAGGGCUACACACGUGCUACAAUGGCGCAUACAAAGAGAAGCGACCUCGCGAGAGCAAGCGGACCUCAUAAAGUGCGUCGUAGUCCGGAUUGGAGUCUGCAACUCGACUCCAUGAAGUCGGAAUCGCUAGUAAUCGUGGAUCAGAAUGCCACGGUGAAUACGUUCCCGGGCCUUGUACACACCGCCCGUCACACCAUGGGAGUGGGUUGCAAAAGAAGUAGGUAGCUUAACCUUCGGGAGGGCGCUUACCACUUUGUGAUUCAUGACUGGGGUGAAGUCGUAACAAGGUAAGCGUAGUGCU
rnacentral:rRNA from 1 species